rnacentral:rRNA from 1 species
GGCGAACGGGUGAGUAACGCGUGGGUAACCUGCCCUUUUAUCGGGGAUAACUUGCCGAAAGGUGAGCUAAUACCGGAUGUCCUAUUUUGAACACAAGUUUAAGAUAGCAAAGGUGGCCUCUGAAUAUGCUACCGUAAAAGGAUGGACCCGCGUCUGAUUAGCUAGUUGGUGAGGUAAUGGCUCACCAAGGCGACGAUCAGUAGCCGGCCUGAGAGGGUGAACGGCCACACUGGGACUGAGACACGGCCCAGACUCCUACGGGAGGCAGCAGUGGGGAAUCUUCCGCAAUGGACGAAAGUCUGACGGAGCAACGCCGCGUGAGUGAUGAAGGUCUUCGGAUUGUAAAACUCUGUUUUUUGGGACGAACGGCUCAUAUGUGAAUAAUGUAUGAGAUUGACGGUACCAAAGGAGGAAGCCCCGGCUAACUACGUGCCAGCAGCCGCGGUAAUACGUAGGGGGCAAGCGUUGUCCGGAAUUAUUGGGCGUAAAGAGCGCGCAGGCGGCUUUGUAAGUCUACCGUGAAAGCUUACGGCUCAACCGUAACGGGUCGGUGGAUACUGCAAAGCUUGAGGGCAGGAGAGGAAAGUGGAAUUCCCAGUGUAGCGGUGAAAUGCGUAGAUAUUGGGAGGAACACCAGUGGCGAAGGCGACUUUCUGGACUGUUACUGACGCUGAGGCGCGAAAGCUGGGGGAGUGAACGGGAUUAGAUACCCCGGUAAUCC